UACAGAGGGUGCGAGCGUUAAUCGGAAUUACUGGGCGUAAAGCGUGCGUAGACGGUAGCGUAAGUCGGGUGUGAAAGCCCCGGGCUCAACCUGGGAAUUGCAUUCGAGACUGCUCUGCUAGGGUGCGGAAGAGGGAAGCGGAAUUUCCGGUGUAGCGGUGAAAUGCGUAGAUAUCGGAAGGAACACCAGUGGCGAAAGCGGACUC
rnacentral:rRNA from 1 species